rnacentral:rRNA from 1 species
UAAUCCGACCUAGGCUCAUCUGAUAGCGCAAGGCCCGAAGGUCCCCUGCUUUCUCCCGUAGGACGUAUGCGGUAUUAGCGUUCGUUUCCGAACGUUAUCCCCCACUACCAGGCAGAUUCCUAGGCAUUACUCACCCGUCCGCCGCUCUCAAGAGAAGAAAGCUUCUCUCUACCGCUCNACUUGCAUGUGUUAGGCCUGCCGCCAGCGUUCAAUCUGAGCCAGGAUCAAACUCU